GACGAACGCUGGCGGCGUGCCUGACACAUGCAAGUCGGACGGUUCUUGUACCUUCAAGCUUGCUUGUUGGUGCAAGGAUAGUGGCGGACGGGUGAGUAACGCGUGAACAUCUACCCAUUGGAGGGGGACAACCCGUCGAAAGGCGGGCUAAUACCGCGUAAGCCGCGAGGUGAGAGGCUGCCUAUUGGUGGCCGCCGAUGGAUGGGUUCGCGUCCUAUCAGCUGGUUGGUGGGGUAACGGCCUACCAAGGCGAAGACGGGUAGCCGGUCUGAGAGGAUGGCCGGCCACACUGGUACUGAGACACGGACCAGACUCCUACGGGAGGCAGCAGUGAGGAAUAUUGGUCAAUGGGCGGAAGCCUGAACCAGCCAUCCCGCGUGAAGGAAGACAGCCUUACGGGUUGUAAACUUCUUUUCUGUCAGAAGAAUAAGCUUGUCGAGACGAGUGAUGCCGGUAUGGCAGGAAUAAGCAUCGGCUAACUCCGUG
rnacentral:rRNA from 1 species